GGGCAGAAUUCUCCUUCAAUUAGCAUAUAGAACAGCGUCUAAUCUCGUGAUAACCAAUGGGAGCUUUUACAAAAACAAGUUAAACAAAACGGACAUGGUUAUCGGCUUUUUUGCGAUAAGAGUUGUGUACAAAAAGCAGAGAGUUGGGCUUUUUCAUCUUUUUCUUCUGGGCUUCAGUAACAUUUUUAUCCUUGUACCAGUCCCUCAGACAGGCUAAGUGCACCCCAGGAGUCUUUGUUCAGAGACAAGAUGAUGAAGUUAGUGGUGAUCUGCCUUCUCUUCUUCCUGACACCUCUUCACAGCCAGGGUCACAACUCCAGUCCCUGUAAAUCCACAACCAACAACAACGGUUACAACGACUUCAGAAAAAAACAUUUCCCCCAAGGCUUCCCGA